rnacentral:rRNA from 1 species
GACGAACGCUGGCGGCGUGCUUAACACAUGCAAGUCGAACGGAAAGGCCCUGCUUUUGUGGGGUGCUCGGGGGGCGAACGGGUGAGUCACAAGUGAGUAGCCUGCCCUUGCCUUUGAGAUAACUUCAGGAAACUGGGGCUAAUACCGGGUAGGAGCUCCGGCUGCAUGGGGGGGGAUGGAUAGUUUCGGCGGUUGGGGAUGGACGCGCGGCUUAUCAGCUUGUUGGUGGGGUGGUGCCUUACCAAGGCUUUGCCGGGUAGCCGGCCUGGGGGGGUGACCGGCCACAUUGGGACUGGGCUCCGGCCCGGCCUCCUCCGGGAGGCAGCAGGGGGGAAUAUUGCACAAUGGGCGGAAGCCUGAGCAACCACCCCCGCGUGCGGGAUGACGGCCUUCGGUUUGUAAACCGCUUUCGCCUGUGACGAAGUGUUAGUGACGGUAAUUGGUAAAGAAGCACCGGCUAACUACGUG